rnacentral:rRNA from 1 species
AAGCAUAUCAAUAAGCGGAGGAAAAGAAACUAACAAGGAUUCCCCUAGUAACUGCGAGUGAAGCGGGAAAAGCUCAAAUUUAAAAUCUGGUAGUUUCACUAUCCGAGUUGUAAUCUAGAGAAGCGUUAUCCGCGCUGGACCGUGUAUAAGUCUCCUGGAAUGGAGCGUCAUAGAGGGUGAGAAUCCCGUCUUUGACACGGACUACCAGGGCUUUGUGAUGCGCUCUCGAAGAGUCGAGUUGUUUGGGAAUGCAGCUCUAAAUGGGUGGUAAAUUCCAUCUAAAGCUAAAUAUUGGCGAGAGACCGAUAGCGAACAAGUACCGUGAGGGAAAGAUGAAAAGAACUUUGGAAAGAGAGUUAAACAGUACGUGAAAUUGUUGAAAGGGAAACGCUUGAAGUCAGUCGCGUCUGCUAGGAAUCAGCCUUGCUUUUGCUUGGUGUACUUUCUGGUUGACGGGUCAGCAUCAGUUUUGAUCGGUGGAAAAAGGCCAGUGGAAUGUGGCACCUCCGGGUGUGUUAUAGCUACUGGUUGUAUACAUCGGUUGGGACUGAGGAACUAGCACUCUGUGUUUUAGAUGCUGGCAUAAUGGCUUUAAUCGACCCGUCUUGAAACACGGACCAAGGAGUCUAACAUGCCUGCGAGUGUUUGGGUGGAAAACCCGAGCGCGUAAUGAAAGUGAAAGUUGAGAUCCUUGUCGUGAGGAGCAUCGACGCCCGGACCAGACCUUUUGUGACGGAUCCGCGGUAGAGCAUGUAUGUUGGGACCCGAAAGAUGGUGAACUAUGCCUGAAUAGGGUGAAGCCAGAGGAAACUCUGGUGGAGGCUCGUAGCGAUUCUGACGUGCAAAUCGAUCGUCAAAUUUGGGUAUAGGGGCGAAAGACUAAUCGAACCAUCUAGUAGCUGGUUCCUG